rnacentral:rRNA from 1 species
AGCGGCGGACGGGUGAGUAACGCUUGGGAAUCUGCCUGUUAGUGGGGGACAACCCGGGGAAACUCGGGCUAAUACCGCAUACGCACUAAGGUGGAAAGCCGGGGACCGCAAGGCCUGGCGCUAACAGAUGAGCCCAAGUCGGAUUAGCUAGUUGGUAGGGUAAUGGCCUACCAAGGCGACGAUCCGUAACUGGUCUGAGAGGACGACCAGUCACACCGGAACUGAGACACGGUCCGGACUCCUACGGGAGGCAGCAGUGGGGAAUAUUGGACAAUGGGGGAAACCCUGAUCCAGCGACGCCGCGUGGGUGAAGAAGGCCUGCGGGUUGUAAAGCCCUUUCGGUGGGGAAGAAAAGCUUCGAGCUAACACCUCGGAGUCUUGACGUAACCCAUAGAAGAAGCACCGGCUAACUCUGUGCCAGCAGCCGCGGUAAUACAGAGGGUGCGAGCGUUAAUCGGAAUUACUGGGCGUAAAGCGCGCGUAGGCGGCUUUGCAAGUCGGGUGUGAAAUCCCCAGGCUUAACCUGGGAACUGCAUUCGAGACUGCAUUGCUAGAGUAUGGGAGAGGGAAGUGGAAUUUCAGGUGUAGCGGUGAAAUGCGUAGAUAUCUGAAGGAACAUCAGUGGCGAAAGCGACUUCCUGGACCAAUACUGACGCUCAUGUGCGAAAGCGUGGGGAGCAAACAGGAUUAGAUACCCUGUAGUCCACGCCAU